CAAAUACAUGGUAUGUAGUGUGUGUAAUGUUUUCUUUAUUGAUUUAAUGUAUCUUUUAUGCACUAUUUUAAAAAAUAUUAGCAUUGUGCACUUCUUCUCUAUAUUCUCUAUAAGUGUGGAAAAUUUCAUACUCCUCCGUCCGCGCAAUUUUUGUAAAAAGGGAUACAAAGUUUUUGCUUCACUUAUUUAUAUCUAUGAUAUAUAAUAUCGCCGAGACAAUUGUUUAACCUUAUCAUUUUUUUCAGGGGCUUCGAGUCUUGUUCUGUAAUUUAACUUUCUGAAAAAUUUAAUCCGGAACCAAAACAAUUGAGUGAAUACAUUUGCAGAGCACCUGUGCGAAUCUAAUCCAAUUUUCCUCUCCUGACCAAAAAAAUAAUAAUAACAGAACUAUAAAGUAAAUCUUCGAUAUUAUAUUUUAUAUCAGAGUUCGUCAAUCUGAUUGCAGUAUUAUUUUCCUCAACACAAAGUAACAAAAGAUCAAUGAACAAUAAUAGAUACCGGAAUCAUCUACUAGAAACAACUUCACCGCUUGAAAUCUGACUCCAAAAUGGGCCGAUUUGAAACAUUUACAUUCCCGAAAGUUCCAUGAAUUUCGUCCCACAGUUAAUGUGUUAAUUUAUUCAUGUAGUAUGUUAAUAUUUAGACCAUAUUUGUGAUUCUUCGAAACCGAAGGUUAAUUGGAAGGAAAUAUAUUAAACCUUGUACGCAUAAACAUUUAACGAAUAUAGAUACCUUGUAGAAUUA